rnacentral:rRNA from 1 species
CGGCCGGCGUGCUAAACUGUAAGUCGAACGAGGGGAAGCCGCAAGGCUGAACCGAGUGGCGGACGGCUGAGUAACGCGUAGGUGACUUGCCCUAAAGUGUGGAAUAACGAUUCGAAAGAAUCGCUAAUACCGCAUGUGGUUGUGCGUGUAAGAGCGCGCAACUAAAGCCCGCAAGGGCGCUUUGGGAGAGGCCUGCGUCCGAUUAGCUAGUUGGUGGGGUAAUUGCCUACCAAGGCGACGAUCGGUAGCUGAUCUGAGAGGAUGAUCAGCCAGACUGGGACUGAGACACGGCCCAGACUCCUACGGGAGGCAGCAGUUAGGAAUUUUGCACAAUGGGGGAAACCCUGGUGCAGCAACGCCGCGUGGACGAUGAAGGCCUUCGGGUCGUAAAGUCCUUUUCAGAGGGAAGAUUCGGACGGUACCUCUGGAAUAAGCAUCGGCUAACUACGUGCCAGCAGCCGCGGUAAUACGUAGGAUGCGAGCGUUAUCCGGAUUUACUGGGCGUAAAGAGCGUGUAGGCGGUUCCGUAAGUUGGGCGUGAAAGCCCCCGGCUUAACUGGGGAGGGUCGUUCAAUACUGCGGGACUUGAGGGUGGAUGAGGAGACCAGAAUUCCCGGUGUAGUGGUGAAAUGCGUAGAUAUCGGGAGGAAUACCAGUGGCGAAGGCGGGUCUCUAGGCCACUCCUGACGCUGAGACGCGAAAGCGUGGGGAGCGAACGGAAUUAGAUACUCCGGUAGUCCACGCCCUAAACGAUGGACACUAGGUGUGGUGGGUAUCGACCCCUGCCGUGCCGUAGUCAACACAAUAAGUGUCCCCGCCCUG